AGAACGAACGCUGGCGGCAGGCUUAACACAUGCAAGUCGAACGCGUGUAGCAAUACACGAGUGGCGCACGGGUGAGUAACACGUGGAUUAUCUGCCUUUUGGUUCGGAAUAACCCCGGGAAACUGGGGCUAAUACCGGAUGGUUCCUUCGGGAUAAAGAUUUAUCGCCAAAAGAUGAGUCCGCGUCCGAUUAGCUAGUUGGUGGGGUAACGGCCCACCAAGGCGACGAUCGGUAGCUGGUCUGAGAGGACGAUCAGCCACACUGGGACUGAGACACGGCCCAGACUCCUACGGGAGGCAGCAGUGGGGAAUAUUGGACAAUGGGGGCAACCCUGAUCCAGCCAUGCCGCGUGAGUGAUGAAGGCCUUCGGGUUGUAAAGCUCUUUUGGCGGGACGAUGAUGACGGUACCGCAGAAUAGCCCCGGCUAACUUCGUGCCAGCAGCCGC
rnacentral:rRNA from 1 species